CCGGUUUGCACCUUAGAAAAUCUAAUAACAUUUUGCUGUUGGGUAGUACAAAAGCACAUUGAUGCAACGUUGUCCUGGUAAUAGAGGUGGCAAGGUUACCCUAAUACAAUUGAAAAAAUUCGACCCACUUAAAUUUCAGAAUGUUGACAUUUGGCAGUAGACUUGAUCCAUUUUGGGCUGCAAAAGCUAGCCAAGAAGCUCUGGGCACAGAUGAUCCACAUGCUGGCUGCUCAAAGGAAAGCCUCUACUCGUCCCAUACUAAUGAUAUUAGAAAUCAGGAAAAAUAAAUACAUUUGCUUUCCACAAAUCAUUUGAUCCUAGCUUAUAGCUUUCCUGGUCAAGGCAUUGUGAUUUGAAAGAGCCUUCCAAGGUAUGGAUGCAUAAACAAGGUAUGUAAAG